UGAUUAGCUAGUUGGUAAGGUAAAGGCUACCAAGGCAAUGAUCAAUAGCCGGCCUGAGAGGGUGAACGGCCACACUGGAACUGAGACACGGUCCAGACUCCUACGGGAGGCAGCAGUGGGGAAUAUUGCACAAUGGAGGGAACUCUGAUGCAGCAACGCCGCGUGAACGAAGAAGGCUUUCGAGUCGUAAAGUUCUGUUAUAGGGGAAGAAGAAGUGACGGUACCCUAUGAGAAAGCCACGGCUAAUUACGUGCCAGCAGCCGCGGUAAUACGUAAGUGGCAAGCGUUAUCCGGAAUUACUGGGCAUAAAGCGUUCGUAGGCGGUUAAACAAGCCAAUAGUGAAAUCCACCAGCCUAACUGGUGUCAGCUAAUGGAACUGUAUAACUUGAGUACAGGAGAGGAAAGUGGAAUUCCUAGUGUAGUAGUGAAAUGCGUAGAUAUUAGGAAGAACAUCAGUAGCGAAGGCGACUUUCUGGACUGUAACUGACGCUGAGGAACGAAAGCGUGGGGAGCGAACAGGAUUAGAUACCCUGGUAGUCCACGCCGUAAACGAUGGAUACUUGGUGUUGGCCGUAAAGGUCGGUGCCGGAGCAAAUGUAUUAAGUAUCCCGCCUGGGGAGUACGGUCGCAAGGCUGAAACUCAAAAGAAUUGACGGGGACCCGCACAAGCAGCGGAGCAUGUGGUUUAAUUCGAAGCAACGCGAAGAACCUUACCAAAUCUUGACAUAUCAAAGCUAUCUGAGUAAAAUUGGAGUUCCAUUUGGACUUUGACUACAGGUGGUGCAUGGUUGUCGUCAGCUCGUGUCGUGAGAUGUUGGGUUAAGUCCCGUAACGAGCGCAACCCUUAUUUUUAGUUGCUAACAAGUAGUGUUGAGGACUCUAGAGAGACUGCCGCCGCAAAACUCGGAGGAAGGUGGGGAUGACGUCAAAUCAUCAUGCCCCUUAUGAUUUGGGCUACACACGUGCUACAAUGGCCGGUACAACGGGUAAGCGAAGGGGUGACCUGGAGCCAAUCCUCACAAGCCGGUCCCAGUUCGGAUUGCAGAUUGAAACUCAUCUGUAUGAAGUUGGAGUU
rnacentral:rRNA from 1 species